rnacentral:lncRNA from 1 species
UCUUUCCCAGCCUUCUCAGCCUUCUUCCCAGCCGUAAUCCAUGGCGUCUGUCCGCUUCACCUCCCAGCCGAGAUCAGCGCCCGAUUCUUCCUCCAUUCCAGCCAUUCGUGAGCGGCUCGGCACCACCAGCAUCCCGUGAAGCGUCGCAACGUCCGCGCAUCGUCCGCACCAGCAUCAGCCCAUCGUCCGCAACGCACGAUCCUUGCCGUCCGCUCCUCCCCACGCGCGAUCAGGGGAAUCAUCGAUUCCAUGGGCUCUGGGGAUCUAUAUGAGGAGGCCUCUGAUCCGAAAGAAGGGAGCCCCGAUUUGAAAAAAAAAAACAGGAGGAAGAAAGGAGGCGGGCGGCUGCAGUGGAAAGAAAAAGAAAAAAACAGAGGAGAGAAAGUGAGAAAGAAAGGAAACAGGGUAUGCCCUGUUUCCGAAAAUAAAAAGAAGAAAGAAAAAAAUAGAGAGAGAGAAAAGGGAGAGAGGCUGAUGUUUGUAAUGGCUUGCUAAUUCCUUUGGCAAAGGGUGAUGGAUGAACCCUUGUCAUGUUGCUUUCAUCAAGUACACUCUAAACUUUAAUUCUAAUUGUUUUAUAUCCAUUGGUAUGUUUUGGGUUCUUGCAUAUUUAUUUAUUAGAUAGAUCUUGCAUGGUUUAUAUAUAUUGAUGCAUGGAUUAUUUCGAUGCUUGAUUUGUCG